UGCGUAGGCGGACUAAUAAGUCAGUGGUGAAAUCUUUCGGCUCAACCGGGAAACUGCCAUUGAUACUGUUAGUCUUGAGUUCGGUUGAGGUAGGCGGAAUGUGUAAUGUAGCGGUGAAAUGCUUAGAUAUUACACAGAACACCAAUUGCGUAGGCAGCUUACUAGACCGACACUGACGCUGAGGCACGAAAGCGUGGGGAGCGGACAGGAUUAGAUACCCUGGUAGUCC
rnacentral:rRNA from 1 species